rnacentral:rRNA from 1 species
UACGUAGGCAGCAAGCGUUGUUCGGAGUUACUGGGCGUAAAGGGUGUGUAGGCGGUUGGAUAAGUGUGGUGUGAAAUCUCCCGGCUUAACUGGGAGGGUGCGCUACAAACUGUCUGACUAGAGUGUGGGAUGGGAGAGUGGAAUUCCUGGUGUAGCGGUGAAAUGCGUAGAUAUCAGGAGGAACACCGGUGGUGUAGACGGCUUUCUGGACCGUAACUGACGCUGAGACACGAAAGCGUGGGUAGCAAACAGG